rnacentral:ncRNA from 1 species
AUAAAGACUGUGAAUGAGAGAGUAGAUAUAAGUUAAUUUAAACAGGGAAUGAAAGCCAAAGAUUGAGAGCUUUCUUAAAGGUACUUAUAUUGAAGUUCACUCAGGAGUUCUAACUGCGAAUUUAUAGUAGUGGUUAGCGGUAAAAACCGUUAUUUUUAUUGAGAGAGCAACAACUGCUAAUUAGGGUGGUACCGCGGAUAAUCCGUCCCUUUU